ensembl:snoRNA
AUGCAGACCUUAUCCAGCGAGGCCCAGCCUGCCGUGGCUCCGUCCUUUCCUUUAGUGUCUGCUAGAGAGACGAGAGGCCGUUUGAGGCCCUGCCGUGACACUUCGCGGCGGGGUUAUAGGUAGACCUCCGACAUUC